GUUUUAUACUUGUUACUACCGUCAAAUUUCUGGGAUGCUUCCCACCUCUCUGCAAGUCCAUCACCUUCAAGCAUUCGAACGAUUUCAGACAUUUUUGGUCUGUGGCCUGGAAGAUAUUGAGUGCAGAGCAAAGCAACUUGAACCAUUUCCUCUAGCUCAAUUCGAUCGUAGUUGCUUUUCAAAUCUUUAUCAACCAGGAUAUCAAGUUUCUUUUCUUGGUGAAUUUUCUUAACCUGAUACAUACAACACAAGGUUAUAAUGGGGGAAUGACAUUCUAAAAGAAAAGAAGGAAAUGGAAUGUUUUGAGCGCGAAACUAUAAUAGUUUUGGCACAUAUCAAAAGUGUCCACAGAACAUUUCUAUGGCUAUAAGAGCAUGUCAUUAAGUGUAAGAGAAGUAAGGGCAACUUGAACCAUUUCCUCUAGCUCAAUCCGAUCGUAGUUACUUUUCAGAUCUUUAUCAACCAGGAUAUCAAGUUUCUUUUCUUGGUGAAUUUUCUUAACCUGAUACAUGCAACAUAAGGUUAUAUUGGGGGAAUGAUAUUCUAAAAUAGAAGAAGGAAAUGCAAUGUUCAGCGUGAAACUCUAAGAGUUUUGACACAUACCAAAAGUAUCCUUAGAACAUCUCUAUGGCUAUAAGAGCACGUCAUUAAGGGUAAGAGAAGUUUAAGGUUAACUAGUAUCCAAAUACAGAAAAGUGACAUUCUUUUUGGAACAGAUUGAAAAAGGAAAUAGUGUCAUAUUAAAUCGAAUGGAGGGAUAGACGCUUAUUUGAAGCUGGACAAAUGGACACUCACCCAAUCAAGCAUUGCUCCUUUCUGGUUAGCUGCUUUUCCAAAUUCUAUAGCUCUCAUUCCAGUGAUCAGUUCAAGAAGAAGGAUUCCAAAUCCAAACACAU
rnacentral:lncRNA from 1 species